rnacentral:rRNA from 1 species
UCAGAAUAAAAGUAGUUAAGUUCUUCAUAACUCAAAGAAUUUGGCGGUUAAUAAAAAUUUCAGAGGGGCCUGUGUAUUAAUUGAUAAACCACGAUAGUUUACACCUUAUUUUUAUUUGUAUACCUCUAUAGUUAGAAUGUUUUAUUUGAAUAUUUUCUUUUAGUUAAAACUUAAAUUUUAGGUCAAGGUGCAGUUUUAAUUAGGUUUAUAUGGGUUACUAUAAUUUUUAUUUUUUAUAAGAUUUAUUUUAUUUUAAUUAUUUUUAUAUAGGAUUUGAUAGUAAUUAAAAUUAAUUAAUUUUUUUGAAUAUC